rnacentral:misc_RNA from 1 species
AAAGUCGUAACAAGGUUUCCGUAGGUGAACCUGCGGAAGGAUCAUUAUCGAGUAAGGGUCUUUUAGGCCCCAUCUCCAACUCUUGUACUGAAAAACCAAGUUGCUCUGGCGGGGCUGGUCCUUGGCUAGUGCCUGCCGAGUGGCCUUUCAAAACCUCCUGGAUUUAUCUGAGGGUGAAAAUAAUUAAAACUUUCAACAACGGAUCUCUUGGUUCUG